rnacentral:lncRNA from 1 species
AGCGUCGCUGAAUUUUUUUCAUGGUAUUAAGAUACUAAAUCUUUUCUUUUCACUCCAGGAAACAAUUACCCUGGCUCUUUGCAGAGAAAAAAGAAGAAAGGGAGUAAAAUCUAAAGCAUUAAUUCCACACCCCUCCACAUCUCCCCCAUCCUUCUUUCACAGAUUCGUUUCCGCGGCAGAGCUGAGCUGAUUAAGGACCACUGGCCAGAGGGGAGCAGUGUCAGGGCCACCCAGCCUGGCACCAGGCAUCCUGCAGCUG